AUGAGUUUGAAAUCCAAAGCAUAGACCAAACCUUCAAAGAAAUCCUCAGAGAGAAUAUGUUUCUCGUUACAAUAACCUCAACUAUUAUAUUUCAGAUAAUCGUAAUGGAGUUCGCAGGCAUGUUCGUUUCUUCAGUCAAGCUUGACAUGAAAAAAUUGGUGACGACAAGUCUUUUGGGAUUGCUCAGCCAAGUGGCCACUCGCUUCCCUUACCCAGCCAACCAAUACUACCGUAACUGAGAUUUAUCUUGCCAUAUAGGCACAACUACCGUAAACUUUUGAAGCAUCCUUCUAGCUUUGGUCGCUUAGGAGGUUGUUGUUCUCUGCGUGGGUGUGCGUGAGAGACUAAAUAAUGUGGAUUAUUGUGCUGUGUAUAUAUCAUAGAUUCAUAGUACAGUUAAUUUAGUCAUAUUCAUUUCCUCUUCAACAUAUGUAGAGUGAAAUGAGUGAGAGUCAUGUAUUUAUAUAAGUUUUGUUCAA